ensembl:snoRNA LOC120094451 small nucleolar RNA SNORD50
GAUCUAUGAUGAUCCUAUCCCGAAUCUGAAUUCCUGUUGAAAAACUGUAGUUACAGAUCUGGCUUCUGAGAU